UUCCGGUUGAUCCUGCCGGACCCGACUGCUAUUUGGGUGAGAAUAAGCCAUGCGAGUCGAAUGGGAUACCUAAAAUUCCCAUGGCGAACUGCUCAGUAACACAUGAUCAACUUACCCUAUAGAGAAAAAUAACCUCGGGAAACUGAGGACAAUAUUUCAUAGUUGAAUCGGCUUGGAAAAGUUUUUCGAUUAAAGGGAUAAGAAAAAUGGUUCUUAUUCGCUAUAGGAUAGGAUCGUGGACGAUUAUGGUUGUUGGUGAGGUAACGGCUCACCAAGCCGAUAAUCGAUAGGGGCCGUGAGAGCGGGAGCCCCGAGAUGGGUACUGAGACAACGACCCAGGCCUUACGAGGCGCAGCAGGCGCGGAACCUCCGCAAUACACGAAAGUGUGACGGGGUUACCCAAAGUGUUCAUUAUUGAACUGUGGUAGGUGAGUAAUGUCCCCUACUAGAAAGGAGAGGGCAAGGCUGGUGCCAGCCGCCGCGGUAAAACCAGCUCUUCAAGUGGUCGGGAUAAUUAUUGGGCUUAAAGUGUCCGUAGCCGGUUUAGUAAGUUCCUGGUAAAAUCGGGUAGCUUAACUAUCUGUAUGCUAGGAAUACUGCUAUACUAGAGGACGGGAGAGGUCUGAGGUACUACAGGGGUAGGGGUGAAAUCUUAUAAUCCUUGUAGGACCACCAGUGGCGAAGGCGUCAGACUGGAACGUGCCUGACGGUGAGGGACGAAAGCCAGGGGAGCGAACCGGAUUAGAUACCCGGGUAGUCCUGGCCGUAAACGAUGCAUACUAGGUGAUGGUACGGCCAUGAGCCGUAUCAGUGCCGUAGGGAAACCGUUAAGUGUGCCGCCUGGAAGUACGGUCGCAAGGCUAAAACUUAAAGGAAUUGGCGGGGGAGCACCACAAGGGGUGAAGCCUGCGGUUCAAUUGGAUUCAACGCCGGA
rnacentral:rRNA from 1 species